CAACCACUCCACAUUGAAACACUUGUUCCUGUACAAUCAAUGAAGUUAAGCAACAAUGAGCAUGGUUAGUAGCUGGAUGGGUGACAACUUGGGAAUAGCACGUGGUGUA